UACGGGGGGGGGCAAGCGUUGUUCGGAAUUACUGGGCGUAAAGGGCGCGUAGGCGGCCCGCUAAGUCGAACGUGAAAUCCCCCGAGCUCAACUCGGGAACUGCGUCCGAUACUGGUGGGCUUGAAUCCGGGGAGAGGGAUGCGGAAUUCCCGGUGUAGCGGUGAAAUGCGUAGAUAUCGGGAGGAACAUCAGUGGCGAAGGCGGCUACCUGGCCCCAAUACUGACACUCAGGUGCGACAGCGGUGGGGAGCAAACAGG
rnacentral:rRNA from 1 species